rnacentral:rRNA from 1 species
AGUGAACGCUGGCGGUAGGCCUAACACAUGCAAGUCGAACGGCAGCACAGUAAGAGCUUGCUCUUACGGGUGGCGAGUGGCGGACGGGUGAGGAAUACAUCGGAAUCUACUUUUUCGUGGGGGAUAACGUAGGGAAACUUACGCUAAUACCGCAUACGACCUACGGGUGAAAGCAGGGGAUCUUCGGACCUUGCGCGAUUGAAUGAGCCGAUGUCGGAUUAGCUAGUUGGCGGGGUAAAGGCCCACCAAGGCGACGAUCCGUAGCUGGUCUGAGAGGAUGAUCAGCAACACUGGAACUGAGACACGGUCCAGACUCCUACGGGAGGCAGCAGUGGGGAAUAUUGGACAAUGGGCGCAAGCCUGAUCCAGCCAUACCGCGUGGGUGAAGAAGGCCUUCGGGUUGUAAAGCCCUUUUGUUGGGAAAGAAAAGCAGCAGGUUAAUACCCCGCUGUUCGGACGGUACCCAAAGAAUAAGCACCGGCUAACUUCGU